AAUAUUGCGCAAUGGACGGGAGUCUGACGCCGCGACGCCGCGUGAGCGAUGAAGGCCNNNGGUUCNUCAAUCUCUGUCCUUGGNGACNAAGGUCUUCGGACUUGACGGUACCCAAGAAGAAAGCACCGGCUAACUACGUGCCAGCAGCCGCGGUAAUACGUAGGGGGCGAGCGUUGUCCGGAAUUACUGGGCGUAAAGGGUGCGUAGGCGGGCCUUUAAGUCAGAUGUGAAAGGCCACGGCUUAACCGUGGGAUUGCAGUUGAAACGGGAGGGCUUGAGUGUCGGAGAGGGUAGUGGAAUUCCCAGUGUAGCGGUGAAAUGCGUAGAUAUUGGGAGGAACACCAGUGGCGAAGGCGACUACCUGGACGAUAACUGACGCUGAGGCACGAAAGCUAGGGGAGCAAAC
rnacentral:rRNA from 1 species